rnacentral:tRNA from 1 species
AAGUAUAUAGCUUAGAGGUAGAGCAUUGGACUUUUAAUCCAUUGGUCUUGGGUUCGAUCCCCAAUAUACUUA